GGAUGGCUCAGUUGGUUAGAGCAUGGUGCUGAUAAUGCCAGGUUUGCAAGUUUGAUCCCCAGCAGCA